UACGUAGGGUGCAAGCGUUGUCCGGAAUUAUUGGGCGUAAAGAGCUCGUAGGCGGUUUUGUCGCGUCUGCUGUGAAAAACCCGAGGCUCAACCUCGGGCCUGCAGUGGGGUACGGGCAGACUAGAGUGCGGUAGGGGGAGAUUGGAAUUCCUGGUGUAGCGGUGGAAUGCGCAGAUAUCAGGAGGAACACCGAUGGCGAAGGCAGAUCUCUGGGCCGUAACUGACGCUGAGGAGCGAAAAGCAUGGGGAGCGAACAGG
rnacentral:rRNA from 1 species